AUUUUAUGAACUGUGACUGUGCUAUUGUCCCUUAACUCUAAUAGUAUCCUCCACUCUGGGGGAGGGGGGGGUAGAACAAAUGAAAAAUAUAGUAUGCCAAGUAUUACUAGUAAGAACAAUGAAAAUGAAGAAGGGGGGUAAAUAAAAAGGUUAGGUUCCACCGAGAUUUGAACUCGGAUCGCUGGAUUCAGAGUCCAGAGUGCUAACCAUUACACCAUGGAACCGAUAUAAAGUGUUCCCACUAAGUGAGGCUAUGUGUACUGAAGGUGACUGGUCUAUGAUACUAAUGUUUUUUUAAUGGAAAUAAUAGAAUGAAUGGGAGGUUUAGAAAUUCUGUUAUAGCUGAUAUUUUAGUGUCUCAGACCUAUUAAUCUACUAAAACUCCAAUAUCCAUAUUUUAUAUAGCAAGCCCUUAUUACCUAAGAUUGCCACCUUUCUUUUGUUUUUAGAAAAUAUUGUU